rnacentral:rRNA from 1 species
GAUGAACGCUGGCGGCGUGCUUAACACAUGCAAGUCGAACGGAAAGGCCGAAGCUUGCUUCGGUACUCGAGUGGCGAACGGGUGAGUAACACGUGGGUGAUCUGCCCUGUACUUCGGGAUAAGCUUGGGAAACUGGGUCUAAUACCGGAUAUGACGAUCUCUUGGAUGGGGUUGUGGAAAGCUUUUGCGGUAUGGGAUGAGCUCGCGGCCUAUCAGCUUGUUGGUGGGGUAAUGGCCUACCAAGGCGUCGACGGGUAGCCGGCCUGAGGGGGUGUACGGCCACAUUGGGACUGAGAUACGGCCCAGACUCCUACGGGAGGCAGCAGUGGGAAUAUUGCACAAUGGGCGCAAGCCUGAUGCAGCGACGCCGCGUGGGGGAUGACGGCCUUCGGGUUGUAAACUCCUUUCGCAAUCGACGAAGCCUUUUGGUGACGGUAGGUUGAGAAGAAGCACCGGCUAACUACGUG